rnacentral:rRNA from 1 species
GACGAACGCUGGCGGCGUGCUUAGCACAUGAAGUCGAACGGAAAGGCCCUGCUUUUGUGGGGUGCUCGAGUGGCGAACGGGUGAGUAACACGUGAGUAACCUGCCCUUGACUUUGGGAUAACUUCAGGAAACUGGGGCUAAUACCGGAUAGGAGCUCCUGCUGCAUGGUGGGGGUUGGAAAGUUUCGGCGGUUGGGGAUGGACUCGCGGCUUAUCAGCUUGUUGGUGGGGUAGUGGCUUACCAAGGCUUUGACGGGUAGCCGGCCUGAGAGGGUGACCGGCCACAUUGGGACUGAGAUACGGCCCAGACUCCUACGGGAGGCAGCAGUGGGGAAUAUUGCACAAUGGGCGGAAGCCUGAUGCAGCAACGCCGCGUGCGGGAUGACGGCCUUCGGGUUGUAAACCGCUUUCGCCUGUGACGAAGCGUGAGUGACGGUAAUGGGUAAAGAAGCACCGGCUAACUACGUG